GUUUAUGUAGCUUAUUUAAAGCAUGGCACUGAAGAUGCCAAGAUAGAUUUUUAGAAUAUCUCAAAGACA
rnacentral:tRNA from 1 species